UGGGCAACCUGCCCCUAGCUCUGGGAUAACUCCGGGAAACCGGGGCUAGUACCGGAUAUGACCACGGUGGACAUCCACUGUGGUGGAAAGCUCCGACGGCUAGGGAUGGGCCCGCGGCCUAUCAGCUUGUUGGUGGGGUAACGGCCCACCAAGGCGACGACGGGUAGCCGGCCUGAGAGGGCGACCGGCCACACUGGGACUGAGACACGGCCCAGACUCCUACGGGAGGCA
rnacentral:rRNA from 1 species